CCUACGGGGGGCAGCAGUCGAGAAUCAUUCACAAUGGGGGAAACCCUGAUGGUGCGACGCCGCGUGGGGGAAUGAAGGUCUUCGGAUUGUAAACCCCUGUCAUGUGGGAGCAAAUUAAAAAGAUAGUACCACAAGAGGAAGAGACGGCUAACUCUGUGCCAGCAGCCGCGGUAAUACAGAGGUCUCAAGCGUUGUUCGGAAUCACUGGGCGUAAAGCGUGCGUAGGCGGUUUCGUAAGUCGUGUGUGAAAGGCGCGGGCUCAACCCGCGGACGGCACAUGAUACUGCGAGACUAGAGUAAGGGAGGGGGAACCGGAAUUCUCGGUGUAGCAGUGAAAUGCGUAGAUAUCGAGAGGAACACUCGUGGCGAAGGCGGGUUCCUGGACAUUAACUGACGCUGAGGCACGAAGGCCAGGGGAGCGAAAGGGAUUAGAUACCCCAGUAGUC
rnacentral:rRNA from 1 species